rnacentral:rRNA from 1 species
GAUGAACGCUGGCGGCGUGCCUAAUACAUGCAAGUCGAGCGAACGGACGAGAAGCUUGCUUUUCUGAUGUUAUCGGCGGACGGGUGAGUAACACGUGGAUAACCUACCUAUAAGACUGGGAUAACUUCGGGAAACCGGAGCUAAUACCGGAUAAUAUUUUGAACCGCAUUGUUCAAAAGUGAAAGACGGUCUUGCUGUCACUUAUAGAUGGAUCCGCGCUGCAUUAGCUAGUUGGUAAGGUAACGGCUUACCAAGGCAACGAUGCAUAGCCGACCUGAGAGGGUGGUCGGCCACACUGGAACUGAGACACGGUCCAGACUACUACGGGAGGCAGCAGUAGGGAAUCUUCCGCAAUGGGCGAAAGCCUGACGGAGCAACGCCGCGUGAGUGAUGAAGGUCUUCGGAUCGUAAAACUCUGUUAUUAGGGAAGAACAUAUGUGUAAGUAACUGUGCACAUCUUGACGGUACCUAAUCAGAAAGCCACGGCUAACUACGUG